rnacentral:lncRNA from 10 species
UCUACUCCUAUUAUCAAUCAAACUCAUCAUGCCAUUUGCUAAACUGUAGUGAUCCAGUUGAAUUCUUGUGGGCAUUCUGGAUAGCUGGAACAAGCUUAGACAUGAACCCAGACAACUGAAGAAGAAAAAAAGAAGGCACAAAGUUAGUUACUGUAGAUUAAGUUGAGAGAUACUCAUCUCCCCAGCCAGUCUUCACAGAAGUUGACUACUCUCCUGGGGCUGCAGUUAUUCUUACUUCUUAAACAUAAAUGGUUAAAUUUAUCUCUAUUAAGUUAAUUCAGUUAAUAACUGUGCUUAAGUCCAUUAAGACUAACUUUCCUCAGGCCCAAUUUUGCUUCUUAAUGUCAGAAAUAAUAUGUAAUUUUUUCAGUUUGUUUAUCAUCCACAUAAGUCUACCAAGUACCAUUUUAGUUUUAGCUGCUUUAAUAUUUUGUUAGUAUACAAAUAAUUUGCAUCGGUAUUAGUACUGUAAACUGACUCUCUUUGUCACUAAUAGAUGAAAGGGCAUCUGAAAUUACUUAAGAAAUAUUGAUGAAGCGCCUACAACAAGUUCCAGGGACAUUUUAAGUUGAACAGACAGGCAAAAAAACCCCGCUGUCAUGGAGCUCACAUUCUCGUGAUUGCAGACAAAAAAUAUUCAUAAAAAUUUUGAAGGUGAUAAAUUCUAGAAGGAAAAUAGAAUGUGGUAAAGGGAUAAAAAGUAAUGAAAGUUAGAGUUACUUCACAUACUGUAUUCAGGGCAAGUCUUUCUGAGGAGGUAAAACUUCAACUGAGACCCAUACAAUGAAAAAGAGCUAGUUACGUGAAGAAGAAAUUCCAAGCAGAAAACACAGCACCUGCAAAAGCUGUAAGGGAGGCAUGAAUUUAGCUUCUUCAAGGGACACAGAAAACGCCUUUUAGACAGAAGUCUAGUGAUCAAAGGAAAGAGGUUGAAGCACUAGGCAUGAAGAGUCUUCAGGGCCAUAUUAAGGGCUUUGGAUUGAUGUGAUUUUAGGAAGGAGUUCAAUGUUGUAUGCUGUUAUUUUACAAAUAAUAAUAAUCCUAGCUACUGUGUGGAGUCAAAAAUAGAAUGCUCUUAGGGCUAAGAAUGGAAGCAGGAAGACAAGAUGAGUUUGGAGUUCACUUCAGGAGUCCAGGCAAGAUACGACGGUGGCUUGGACAGUGUAGCAGUAGAGACCAUCGGAACUGGUUAAAUUAGGGAUUUGGGGGGCAGGGGGUUCAAGCCAAAGAAUGUGUUGGUGUGAUUGAAUUUAGGGAUGAAGAAAUGAGAAGGAAAAAAAUGACACCCAGGUUUUUGGCCUGAGCAACUGGGUAGAUAGCGAUAUUAUUAUUGAGUUGAGAAAGCCUAGGAGAGGUACAGAUUGGAAAUGGUAAGAUACAGGGAUGGAGGAUUUUGUUGCAGACACGUGGUUUGAGUUACCUCACCAGAAAUCCUCUUAGAGAUUUUCAAUAGGCAACUGGAUAUAGAAUCUGGGACCAUGAAGAAAUAUACAGAUAAAAAGUCCAUGUCUAUAAAUUUUUCAUAAUAAUAAUCACAGACCCAGAAGUCAAGAAUGAUAUUCAUAAAGUGAAGUUAAUAGCCUAAACAUGAUAGGAUAUGGGACAGAGAGUAGGAAUUAAAUUCAGGAAACUCUUGUUGGAUAAGAUACUAGGCAUUGUGGGCAAUGUAGAGGGGAUCUGGUAGGUAAACUGAGGAUCUAAAUGUUACAGGGAUCUACCCAAUACCAAAUAACUAGUAAAUGAUUGAGCAAGGGCUUGGACUCAGGUCUCCUGACUUAACUCCUGAAGUCCUCUCUUUAUAACAUUGCUGUUAUGAGCAGGAAUUAUAAAAUUCUAAUUUUUAGAAAAUUUAGUUUUAAAAUUCUGAUAUUUAGGGAAGAAUUCAUGUUCCUCAUUUGCAAAAGGGAGAAAAUAUUACAUUCAUUAAUUUUUAAACCAUGUUCUUUAGAACACUAGAUCUCUUCACAGAUUGGGUGGGUACAUAUAAUUUAUCAUCCAAAUCUAAAUUCUCUGGAAAAGAAAGGAAGUGCUAUGUGAAUAAUGUUGGGACAGCAGGUACCUGAGGCUUCGAGGAGAGGAUGUCAACAAAAAGCCAAAAGCCAAGCAGGUAACUUAUUUUAGUCUCUUCAAUCACAUCAGAGCUGCUCUAUUUUUAUGAUCAGUUUUAUAUAUUUGAGUUCCAAGUAAGAUUUUACUUCUUUUUAAAUGAAAAUCACUUGCCUAGGAAACUUCAGCUCUGGCAAUCAAUGAUUUAAUCCAAAAAGAUCUAUAGUGCCGACUCUCCAACACAUCUCUCAAAACCAAGCUUAAAUCCUGUAUCUUCCACAAUGCCUUCCCACAAACUCAAGGGAAAAGUUGACCUUUUUUUCUCUUAUGUGUUUCCUAUACCUAUACCUCCACUCAAAUAUUUCAUCUGGUUUUCUAUGAAGUAGAGUCACAAAUGUGGCUGUCUGUACAGCUAAACCAAAGUUUCUUCACCUUGGGACUAUUGCUAUUUUAGGCCAGACAAUCUUUUGCUAUGGCAGAGAAUGUCUUCUGCAUGUUAGGAUGUUAAGCAGCCUCCCUAUCCUCCUCCCACCAGAUACCAGACAGAUACCUCCCUGUGUAUAGAAGGAAGUCUCCUGUAAUAGAGGGCACGCCCGUCCAAUACCCAGUACUUGAAAUCACUUGAGAAGUCACGCUGCUGGACAGACUGUAUAUAUCAUCCUUGCAUAUUUUUUCCUGGAAUUAUCCUCAUAGAGACCCUGUGACUAUAAAUUCAAGUGUGUAGAGACAAAUAAGAAGAGGCAGUAGCUCCUUUUUCCUUGCACAAGAGAGGUUUCUACCCAUCGUAAUUUCCAUCCUCAUCCUAUCCCAUGCCUCAACCCUCCUCUCUGAACACAUGCAGAUAUAUGCACACACAUACAAGUGCACUUUAAACUUAGCUAAACUGAAUUAGUCUUUAUCAGAGAACAUUUUAUAUACCUUUGUAAGUAUACAUUUGAUAUGACAACCGAUAAUAUCUCACUGGGACACUGGGACAUUGUCAUAUGUCCCCCAUGGGAAAAAUCACCCUCUCUUGAGAACCACUGAACUAAAGGAAGUAUAGGAUCAGGCAGAGGGGUCUUAAGUUGGAACUAUGAUACUCACAUAGCUGUGUGACUUUGGGCAAGUUAUCCAACCUCUCUGAAAUUUAUAGUUCCUUUGCCAUAAAAUAAGAAUAUUAAUAGUAUCAAACUUAUCAGGUGGUUGUAAAGAUUAAGUGAAAUAAAGUGUUUGUAUACACGCUGUGAAUGGAGGGGUGCACAUACAUGCACUUGUGUGCUCACAUAUUAUAUAAAGGAUUAGGAAAGCAGAAUGAGAUGAGCCUGAAAUUUGGAGUUAUAUUGCAAAGGCCAUAAAGGAAGCUUGUUGCCAGGAAUCAAUAAAUAAUAACUGCUUAAUCAUCACUGACAUCAUCCUCAUCAUCAUUACCAAACCAUGAUCUCUUAAAAAUCAAAGUAUAAUUCAUCUCAACAAUUCUAUUGCAACAAAGUCUGGAUUAUCCAAAGUCUGGAUUAUCAGGAUGCCUUUUCAUAGAUCAGUAAAUCUUGUCCAGUUGGAUUACUGAAUGCUUCCUCUGGCUUCAUCAUAAACUUCUUUCCUUAAGAAUCCUCUGUAGACUCAAAAUCAAAGUGCUAGAAAGUAAAAGUUGGCACUAUUUCAUACUCAAUGAAUUUGGCAUUUCAUUGGAGUCAGAUGGACUUCAUUUCCAGUCAUUUCUAGGAGCCCCUUCAAAGCCAGGGGAGGGCAUGGUUACAGAGAGACAAGCAGGGUGACAAGCAGUGCAUUGAAGGAGAGGCAGACAAAAGGCCAAGUCCCCGAGCUGGCUCUUGAGCAUUUCAAGCACCUGAACUAAAUCUAUGUGACAGGAACGCUGUGUCAUCUGAUAUGAAUGCCACCAGCCACAUACUUUUCCCUAAAAGCUUUUAUGCACCCACCUCUGGCUCUCUCUUUUAUUUCAGUCCCAAAUACAGAGGGUCAGGUUUUAACAACUCCAGUUACACAGGGGCUGUGUGUUGGUUAGGAUAAAGUAUAGCAGCAGUGUGCGUGGUGGGGACAGGGGGGACAUCGUAUUAUUCUUGACUUUCCACCAAUUAUUUACCAGCCGAGUGCCUGGUCCACAGGUUUGCUUUAGGUGCUGUCUGCCAACAGUUCAUUGCCUGGAGUCUCAGUUUUCCUUAUUACAACCAUCACUGGCUUCCUGUUUACACUGGGUAAAGAGACCAGGUUUCAUGCCUGUAGGCCCACAUUCCUCAGUUGAGCUGGUUUUCUGAGCCUGCAGGCUACAGGUUUCAGCCUCCCUGUGUAUGGAAGGAAGUCUCCAAGUCUCCUGUCAUAGAGGGCACGCCCAUCCAAUACCCAGUACUUGAAAUCACUUGAGAAGUCACACUGCUGGACAGACUGUAUAUAUCAUCUUUGCACAUUUUUCCUGGAAUUAUCCUCAUAGAGCCCCUGUGACUAUAAAUUCAAGUGCAUAGAGACAAAUAAGAAGAGGCAGUAGCUUCUUUUUUCUUGCACAAGAGAGGUUUCUACCCAUAGCAAUUUCCAUCCUCAUCCUAUCCCAUCCCCCAACCCUCCUCUCUGAACAUAUGCACAUAUGUGCACACACACACAAGUGCACUUUAAACUUAGCUAAACUGAAUUAGUCUUUAUCGGAGAACAUUUUGUAUACCUUUGUAAUUCGCAGCUUUUAAGCAUGUUUCCUCUAAUUAAAAUGUCUUUUCCCACCUUCUUUGGUGCUUAAAUCACCCAUACCUUGAGUUUCAUAUCAAAUGUCAUCAGACUUGUUAACUUUUGGACUUAUCUGUUCCCACUUUUGGGCUCCCCCUAUUUACAAUCUUAGUACUUUAAAUUAUAAUUUGUGAAAGUCUUUGCUGCCUCCUCCCCCUACGCCGUAAGUAUCUGUAGGGCAAAAUCAGUUUUAUUCUUCUUGGUAAUCCAGAAUAUUGCUCAUCAUGUAAUGGUCACUGCCAGGUAAGUACUCAAUGAAUAUUUGUUGAAUUGUUGUAAAAGGCAAACAAAGGGCUAAGAGUAUAAAGUUAAAUUUAAUUGCUAAAACAUUGGUUCAUUUACAUGAUCCCCUUGAAAAGAUGGAUAGAAAUACAAGAAAAGAGUACAAAUGGUUGGUCUGUAGAUCAUGAUGGUUGUAGGGCACACAUAAUGCGUUCACUGCUAUUCAUCAGUUCUGGGUUCAGUACUCAUCCUUCCCAGCAGUAGUCUCUGCAUACUGUAGGAACCCAGCAAAGCGAUGGUUAAAAAAGAAAAGGUAAGGCUAUAAGUUGCAAAUACAAAGUGGAUGAAAUAAUUGAGGAUAAUUGAGCCAGGUUUUGAGAUACAAUAUUAUACCAUAUCACAUCAAUUAAUACAAAUGUACACACAGUCUCUCUCUUUCUCACCCCCCCUUACACACACACACACACACACACACACACACACACACAAUUCUUUCAGGCUUAUACCCAUUUCCUUGAAUAUUAGGAAACUGGGUAUAACAUAGAACUAUUAUUAUAUGAUUUCAGUCACUUAAUCCCUCUGAAUAACUGUCCUCAUUUUUUUUUAAAGAGACAAAAUCUUGCUCUGUCAUCUAGGUUGGAAUGCAAUGGUAUAAUCACAGCUCACUGCAGACUUGCACUGCAGACUCGAACUCCUGGGCUUAAGCAGUCCUCCUGCCUUAGCCUUCCAAGUAGCUGGGAUUAUAGGUAACUGGAAUGGGAAUACUGGUACAUGCCACCAUGUCUCAUUAAUUUAUUUUAUUAAGUUUUUUUAAAGACAUGGUCUUACUCUGUUGCCUAGGCUGGUCUUGAACUUCUGGCCUCAAGCAAUCCUCCCACCUUAGCCUCCUGAGUCACUGGGACUACAGGCAUAGGCCACCACCACACAUGGCUCAAGUGUUCUCAUUUUUAAAACAAAGACACCUAUCCUUAUCUUACAGGGGUUUUAUUAGUUGAAUUACAUGAAAAUAGUAUUCAAAUUGUAAUCAAUAGAUAUAAAGUAUAACUAUAUAAUAGUAUACUAGAUAUUUUUAUGUCUCAUAAUAUUAAAAGCAGUGCCAAAAAGCUACUAUUUUAUUUUAUACUUUCACAUUGUUUUAUAUGAGUAACACAAACUAUGUAUGUGAACAGAUUGGAAAAGUUUGGUGAAGCAGGGAGAUAAGCAAGACUGUCUGGGAAAAGGCCAUUUGACCACCAUAUCUGCCAGAUGUGGAAGUGGUAUAGAGUUAGUGAGAUGGGAAUAGUAUAUUUUGACAUAGCAUUGUAUAAACUUUACAGCAAUUUUAUCAAUAAAUGUUAACAGACUUAGACAUAGCGUAAACUUUAACUUGAACGUAAUUAUAUCCAUUAAUGCUCUUUCUUUGGGUACCUUCCUGACCCACCAGCCCCAUGACUACUCAGCUUUGGCCCAAUGUUGUGUAAUCUCAAACCUAUAUCACCAGUUCAGCUUUCUGUACUGAGCUUCAGACCUAAAUUUCUAACUGCCUGACAACCAACCCUACCCCAAGUUCUACAGAAAUGCAACAUGUUUCGAAUUCAACAUGUCAUAAGCUGAGUCCCCAAACCUACUUUUUCCAGUUUUCUUCAAUCAAAUUAAUGGAAUCACCAUCUACCCAAUCCUGAAACCUUGUCAUCUUUGACUUCUUCAUCAUCUUCAAUAUCCUGUCAGUUACUUGCUUUCAUUAAUUCUCUCUCCUGAAUAACUCAAAAUCUCCUCAUCUUCUUUCCCUUCCUACUGCUCCGAACUUAGUUUAGGCUCUUAUAUCUAUUAUCUAAGCCAUUAUAACUACAGUGGGGACUAUGUAACAUUAAACUCCAGUUAAACCAAAUUACUCUUUAUCUAAGAACCUUCUGCAUACUCUCAUGUACCUCUACUCCUUUUUGCUUGAUCCAAACUUCAGUUUCAGUUAAUUAGAACUCUUAAAAAUAUUUGCAUUUUUAUCUGCCUCCCCUGUUAAGCACUGCCUUCCACAAAGGCAAGAACCUUGUCUCAUUUCUGUUGGUAUCCUCAGCAACAAUCAUAAUACCUGCAUUUUGUUGGUGUUAGAAAAUCUCUUGAAUAAAGAGAUUCUAGAUACAGUAGAAGAAAUGACUCUGGGUAAGAAUAAGUUUGAAUAUUUUCAUGUAUUUUAAAAUAAUAAUUUGUUCCAUUAGAUUGUAAAUAAUUUAAAAGUGUUGACUGCAUAACUCAGCUCUAUGUUAUUCCCUCCCCGUGAGACAAUAGUUUUCUUAAACUGAAUUAAAUUGCUUCAGUUUUUGAUUUAGUUAUGCAUUUUCCCCAUAUUCUACUUUUUUCCUAUUUCAUUCAUCAGAGAGAUGGAAAAACCAGUUUAUUAAACCCUUUUAAAAUCUCAUGUUUUUGCCAAAAUAUUAACAUAAAAAAAUUCUAGAUCCCCCAAAUUAUCUUUCUUCUUAUUUAUUCUUUUACAUUGAUAUAACUGGGUCUUAAUCAAAGCCAAUCUUGGAAAAUGUCCUAAACAUAAAUAAUAUUGUGACAUAAAAACCAACAACAAAAGAGAAAAUAAGACACAAAAACCUGGAUCAAAGUACUCAUCCUCUCACAUUCCAGAUGGAGAUCAUUUGUUUUCCUAGAGAGCUGGGACUUUGGGUGGCCUUUGAAUAAGAAAUAGCUUGGCAAAUGAAAGUGCCAGACUAUUGCUAAAGGAAAAAAAAAAAAAGAGAAAAAGCUUUGGAAUAAUAAUUUAAGGAGAAAAGCCUUAAAGGAAAUACACUUAACAGAUCCGCGAAGUAGUUUGAUUGGCUAAAAGUCAACCAACCAACUCACCGUCUAUCAUGUUCGUGUGUGUGCAUGUGCCUCCCACCUGUUAUUCUUACUUCCAUCCAGUAAGAGCUACAUGAACAUCAAUUUCCUGUUCAGCCUUUGCUACUGGGAAGGCUAGGGCAAAAUCCAAUGCUCUAGUCUAUUAAUUCCAUUUGUGGGUAUUUGGAAAAUAAUAUUCCAUACCCUCUUUGAUAUUUUACUUUUCAUCUUUAUUUUUGCAUUAUUUGAUUGUAUUUAUAUAUAACAGAAUAAGAUAAAGCACAAUCAGAUGUUAGAAUGUGACAGUGUUAUUUCUCUGCAGUUUAUAAAACUUGUUCUUUAAUUCCUCACGCUGAACUUCUUCCUGCAAAGGGCAUUCAGGGAAUAACCAUCUAAUGCACAAGGUAUGAGGAAUAAGAGAAGACUUGGCCCAGGAAAUGAUGGAUGUACCAACUAAGGCAGUUAGUAUUUAUUUUGAUUUACAAUAAAGUACAAUUACUACUAAUUCAAAAAUAUAUAUUAUUUUAAUGGUCGGAACCAGAUGUCCUUUAAAGCAGGAAAAUGUCUUUGGGAAAAUAGGUUAUUAAGCUCUUUAUCUUGGAUUAACAGAUGUUUUCGGGCGCCUGUAGUCCCAGCUACUCCGGAGGCUGAGGCAGGAGAAUGAUGUGAACCCGGGAGGCGGAGCUUGCAGUGAGCCAAGAUUGUGCCACUGCACUCCAGCCUGGGUGACAGAGCGAGACUCCGUCUUAAGAAAGAAAGAAAGAAAGAAAGAAAGAAAGAAAAAAAGAAAGAAAGAAAGAAAGAAAGAAAGAAAGAAAGAAAGAAAGAAAGAAAGAAAGAAAGAAAGAAACAAAGAAAGAAACAAAGAAACAAAGAAAGAAAGAAACAUAAAGUGUUCUGCAUUGUUAACAAUAAUUUUUGAAACAGAGUUUGAAGAUUAUGGAACAAUGCAUUAAUGUGUUAUUAUUAAUAAGAACUUCUAGAAACAGAGAAGUCUGAUAUUGCAUUUGAAGUUCACGGCAAGAGCAUGAUGCAAACUCCCACUCUGUCCCCCUGAAGCCCUGGGAGUACACGUCCCUAGAAGCACAUAGCUCCAGCAACAAAGCUAAUCUGAGAGUAAUACCCAAGAUGCCUCCUACCUUGCAAAUUUCAAGGAAUUUCUCACUGGUGUAUUUCAUAGGAUGCUCAGUGAAAGUAGCAUAAGGAACUUCAGUGGACCAUGGGUUCCAGCGGGACAGAAGAGACUGCUCCUCCGGACUCCCCCAGUAGAUCCUAAGGCCUUCUCCUUGUCUCCUACAAGAAAGGCGUUUUCCAUUAGAUUAGUCAUUUCCAUUUCCAAAAAAAAAAAAAUAGAAUGUAAUACAUCAGUCAGCCUUCAUAUUAACUCCCAACUAGUUAAACUGUUCAAAAGAUUUUAGGGGGUGAGAAGAAAAAGGUGAAUUAGGUUUUAAAAAUAGGAAAUUCAAGGUGUUUGGAGGAAUUCUAUAUGGGAAACACCUACUUGGAAAUGUGAGUCUGACACUCAGAACAGUGGCUAGAGCUGGAAAUACGGAUAUUGAUGUCACACCAAGAUUCUGAUGGUAAGAAUUAAAAGAGAAAGAGAGGAGGUAUCAAAGAGGUGAACAGUAACAGAACAGUUCAGGUGGGAGACAGUUUCAAGAAGAAAGGAGCUGCCAUGACAAUAACAGUUUCCACAGAAGCAAUAACUGACUGAGAAAAGACAUGGGACUUCUUAAAUGGUAGAAUAUACAUGAUUUUUGAGGGGGACGCUGACAAAUUCAAAAUGCUCUGCGACUUCAGAUUCUGAAUCUCAUUGUCCUCUAUUCUCUGCACACAUUCCAUUCAGUGAAAUUGCAGCAACAAACAUGUCAAAGCUUGUAGAAAGACUGUGCCUGCCCCUCCUGUUAAGUUCACAGUCUUAAUCCACAAGAUGUGGGAGGAAGCCACUCUGGCAUAGCCCAGGCCUGGUCAUUUGGUAAACCUAAGUGCAGAGCAAGAGAAAGUAAGCUUGAGAUAACAGGGAGAGAACUCAUGGUAGAGGAGUGUGGCCACAUUGAAUAACAAAACCGUGUUUCUGAGGCCUCUUUUGCAUGUGUCCAUCAGAAUUUAUGAUUUGUGGUUUCAGGUAUCUCUGAAUGCAAAGAGAUGCCCGGAGGUUAAGCCAAACUCAGGUGCCCUGCAUUCGACAAGCUUGGAAACUAAGUUGCCUGUAAUUCUAAACAGCCCUAUGGAACUUCACGGAUGUCUCAUUUUGUCUAAAAAUUAAAUCCUGGGAUUUCUGGAAUGAAAAACCAGAGCUUAAUUGUGGUGCCUUCACAAAACUGUCACUUCCUGUAUUAAGGAAGGAUUCCUUCGGGAAUGCUGUUAUGGUUUCUGAAUGUUUAUCCAUGUGGAGAUGGUAUAAGCACAAUUUCACACAAAUGCAUAUAACACUCCGCUCCCCAACUGGUUAAUACCUGAACUUUUCUCACAAAAGGAAAGUAAAAAAAGUCCCUGAAACAUUCUGCUGGCCAGUUAUCAGAUUUUUGAUGAUUAUAUUUGAAAACUGACACCCAACUUUUUUUUGUACUUAAUCCUUUGCCCAAGAAGAAAAAUGAAAAAAAAAAAAAAAAGUAUAUAGGAAAAAAAAGACAGAGUUAGGAAAAAAAAGACAGAGUAAAGAAAAAUAUUGAGAAGAAUAGAAAAAUAGAAGAAAAAUAUACCUCUAAAGUUUUCUUUCUCCCUCUCCUUCUCAGCUAGUAUACUGGCAUUUAUUAUCCCCCAGCUCUUUUUUUUCUGGCCUGACAAUAAACUCUAAACUCAAUGAAUAUUCUAUGAGUGCUGGUAAAUGGAGCAUUCUGGAUUGAGUCCAUUAAAACAACUUGCACAAUGGAAUUAUUUACUGCUUCAUAUGUCAAUUUAUGUGCUGGGUGCAAUUUUGCUUUUAUCCAAAGGGGAUGAAAAUCUGCCAAGAGAGCUUGCCUAAUAAGUACACAUUAUAUUCUUUUACCUUAGGGAAACCUCAAAUGAAGUUUGAGCAUGAAAUUCAAGAGGGACCCUAUUUCUAAAUAACCAGUCAAUGUGACUAUAAAAAGGACCUUUCUCAGAGAUAUAGUAUACUUCCAAAUAUGCAAGUUCAGCCAACCUUCUUUCCUGAGCUCCAGAGGUGAAAACUAGGAAGAUUAAUCUGAAGCUAAGUUAUCACUCCAAGGGUGGGGCUUCUCAGGCCAUCCAGCAAAGCUGUUAGUAUCACAGUGCUAUGAAAGACGAUCAUCUUCUCUUUUGUCAAACACCAUUAGAACAAUCGUGGAGACUGCAGAUGCCUUUAUGACCAGAAAUACUUUAUUUAAUAGUAACGUACUCACAUGAAAGAAAUCCUGGGAGGCGACAGAGUGGAGUAAAAGUGCAGUGAGCUGGAUGUCCGGGAGUCCUGUGAUACAGUCUCGGUUUUGACACUUAACAUUGCGUGACUAUGGGCAAGCUUAUUUCUCUUUCUGAAUCUGAAUCAUUUCUCUUUCUGAAUCUUCUGAAUAUGUCUUCCCAUAUUUAGAAAAAAACAGGACUUCCUCAUCUGUUCUUUAGAAUCUCUAUAUCGAGACAUUCCAUGACCUCAGUCAUGCUGUGUGAAUAGUGUAGGUGGUCAUGAUGCCAGUAACGAUCAUCUGGUUGCAGACAUACAACAUCCAUAAGCAGUCUUGGGGUAUGAAUUCUCUAGUUCAGAAGCAUCUAAUUAGCCCCACUGAGCAGAACAAGUCCUCUACUGCAAAGGUCACAGCAAGUACUAUCCUAUCAUUCCAAGAGGCUUUCAGGACCUACCACAACAUUUUACAAACAUGGAAAAGCACAAAUCAGCUAUUUCUCAGUGGAAAUGCAGAUAAGGUUUAUAAACUGUAGAAUGUCAGAGCUAGAAGGGCUCUUGGAAGCUAUAGCCCAGUGCUUCCUUUCUGUGGAUGGAAAAAACUGAGACUCAGAAAGUACCAGAAUUUUCCCAAAGCAUCACUACAAGACAGGGAUGAACUGGCAAGAGUCCUGGUUUCCUGAGACCUCAUUCAGGGGUCUUUUCACCAUUCUGGGCUAAGGCUACAAAAUAUAUUCAAAGCUAAAGCCCUGCUAUUGCAUAACAUAGCCUUAUUUCCAAUAGACACAAAGUUAAAAGAAUUGCUCUGAGGAGGCUGUCAUCAUUCAUGGGUGAAAAAAGCCUGCCUACGGAUCCCAGUCAGUUAUCAGAAGAAAACCUCUGUCUCAAAACAAACUAUGCAUUCUUAAAUAUACUCAAUAUGAGCAAUUUUGAGACUAUAGGAAAAUAAGGAAGCACUGGAUGUGAAGGAGACAAUUACAAACAAGUUAAGUUGUCAGGGUGAGAAGAUUGGGUCUUUGGCCAGGUGCGGUGACUCACGCCUGUAAUCCCAGCACUUUGGAAGGCUGAGGUGGGUGGAUCACCUGAGGUCAGGAGUUUGAGACCAGCCUGGUCAACUUGGUGAGACUCCCAUCUCUACUAAAAAUACAAAAAUUAGCCGGGUGUGGUGGUGGGAGCCUGUAAUCCCAACUACUUGGGAGGCCAAGGCAGGAGAAUCACUUGAACCCAGGAGGCAGUGGUAGCAGUGAGCCAAGAUCAUGCCACUGCACUUCAGCCUGGGCAACAGAGCGAGACUCUGUCUCAAACAAAAAGAAGAAGAAGACUGGGUCUUUCUCACUGAGCUGCUAUGAUGGGUUAAUUAAAGUCCUAAGUAAAGGUUGCCAACAUCAAAUUAUCAAGCAAAUAAAUAUUUGGAAGUUUUCUUUCUGAAAUUAUACUCGGUAUAAAUCAUGACUUUCACUAGCUUGUGUCUUUGGGCAUUUCACACCACCUUUCUGAUCUGUAGGUCACAAUAAUUUUGUGAAAAACAGGAGGAUAACGGAUGAUAAAAAGUUUUGUUUCUGUAAGGCACUGUCCCACCAGCAUAUAUUGAGUGUCUACUAUGAACCAUACUACCCACUCUGUACUGUUAGAGAUCUUAUAUUUUUUAUUUUAUUUAACCCAUAUAGUAAUUUUGAGCUACUUUUGAAGACAUAGAUGUAGUUACAGGAAAUAAGUUAAAGAAUAUCACCAGACUUAAUCAGAUCAUCAAGUCAAGAACCACUAGUGAAAUGUAAUUUUAAAAAAGGGGCAGGGAAAGGAAAAACACCAGAAUCACUGGACAUAAACAAAACCAGAGAAGCAAAUCUCUAGCACAGAGGAAGUAUUGGGAUGUUUUAUGCUUGUCUUCACCUAUUGAUACCUCUUCUUCCACCUGUAUCCGGGUCCAAGGAUGCUUCUUAUGUGUCAGCUUCUGCUUUCCAUCAAUGUUUUCAUAUGUAAGAUUUCUACUUGAAUCUAAAUCCAUCAGAAAAACUUCCAUUCAGAUAGCUUAAAUAAGCUCUUCAAUUCUCUUUUCUUCAGUCUGAAUAAGCCUAACUUCUUAAUUAUAUUUUCUGAUGGGUUAAAAGUAAUCUUUUAAAUCACCUCAGAGCUGAUCCUCUAAAACAUUCCAAAGUUCUCCAUUUUCAAUUCCACCAUUUUCUUAGCACAUUCUCUAUGCAGGGUAUAGAGAAAGGAAUAAGACUCAGUGCCUGAACUCUGUAAGCCCAUGAUCUGACAAUCUAUGAGCCGAUUUUACUAUCAAUUUGUUCCCAGACCUCAAAAAGCACAAAUAGAAACUUGCAAGUCUCAUUUCAGAAAUAGAGGAUCACUUAUUUCAAUUAUUCCCACUUUCUAUCCUCAAGGAAAACAGCUGGAUCUGGCCUCCAUUCCCACAGUAGUGGAAGUAAGAAGGACAAUGUACUCUUUACUUCUAGUAAGUUCCAAAGCCUCCCAGAAAGAGGCAGAGGCAGGGGAAGGGUCCCAUAAGGACUUGGUGGAAGAAGGUUUGUAAUAGUCAUGGAUGUUUAGGAUCCUAAACUAUCUGAGUUGGAAGGCCUUUUGGAGAGGUCAGUUUCCAAUUCUUUGAUUUUAUAGAUAUGUAACUGAGACUAGAGUUUU